CCUCAAACCUAUUUCUUCUUUGCUCACAGUAAUCUGGGCCAAAAUUACCUUAGUGGUCCAAUACCGCACGAAUGGACUUCUACGAAGUUGGAAUUUCUGGUUCUCAGCGUGAACAACUUAUCAGGACCAAUCCCAGCUUAUUUGGGAAACAUGAUUACUCUCCAAGCUUUGGCUUUGGAAAGCAACUUAUUUUCCGGAAUUAUUCCUCCGGAGCUGGGGAAAUUGGUUAACAUGGAGAUUCUCUAUCUCCGCGCUAACAAUCUAACAGGAGAGUUGCCUGUGGCUCUCACUAAUCUGAAUAAACUGAAAGUACUGUAAGUGGCCUUAUUGUAUUGUACAUAACUAAGAUAUUUUCGG